UGGGGAAUUUUGGGCAAUGGGGGAAACCCUGACCCAGCAACGCCGCGUGAAGGAUGAAGUAUUUCGGUAUGUAAACUUCGAAAGAAUAGGAAGAAUAGAUGACGGUACUAUUUAUAAGGUCCGGCUAACUACGUGCCAGCAGCCGCGGUAAUACGUAGGGACCAAGCGUUGUUCGGAUUUACUGGGCGUAAAGGGCGCGUAGGCGGUGUGUCAAGUCAGUUGUGAAAUCUCCGAGCUUAACUCGGAACGGUCAACUGAUACUGUCACACUAGAGUACAGAAGGGGCAAUCGGAAUUCUUGGUGUAGCGGUGAAAUGCGUAGAUAUCAAGAGGAACACCUGAGGCGAAGGCGGGUUGCUGGGCUGAUACUGACGCUGAGGCGCGAAAGCUAGGGUAGCAAACGGGAUUAGAUACCCAAGUAGUCCCUGAGCGGGCUGGCAAGGCGCAU
rnacentral:rRNA from 1 species